rnacentral:rRNA from 1 species
UACGAAGGGGGCUAGCGUUGCUCGGAAUCACUGGGCGUAAAGCGCACGUAGGCGGCUUUUUAAGUCAGGGGUGAAAUCCUGGAGCUCAACUCCAGAACUGCCUUUGAUACUGAGAGGCUUGAGUCCGGGAGAGGUGAGUGGAACUGCGAGUGUAGAGGUGAAAUUCGUAGAUAUUAGGAAGAACACCAGUGGCGAAGGCGGCUCACUGGCCCGGUACUGACGCUGAGGCGCGAAAGCGUGGGGAGCAAACAGG